UACGGAGGGUGCAAGCGUUGAUCGGAAUUACUGGGUGUAAAGGGCGCGUAGGCGGCAGGACAAGUCGGAUGUGAAAUUCCGGGGCUCAACCCCGGAGCUGCAUUUGAAACUAUCCAGCUAGAGGUUAGUAAGGGAAAACGGAAUUCCACGUGUAGCGGUGAAAUGCGUAGAUAUGUGGAAGAACACCGGUGGUGAAGACGGUUUUCUGUGCUAAACCUGACGCUGAGGCGCGAAAGCUAGGGGAGCAAACAGG
rnacentral:rRNA from 1 species